GCCUUCUUCAUGUAUCUCCUCUCGGAGCAUCAUUCCCUGACCUUCCUUUCUAGGGCUCUGAAUCCACCCCAUUGCUGUCUAUCCAGUCAGUCUCUCUUUUCUAGCUGGCAUCCAUCACAAGCAAUCUGCUUAUCUUGUUUUUGUCUAUCUUUGUUGAGUUUUGGUAUUGAUUUUAUGUGUCAGUACCUGAGAAGGAGAGAAGUCCUUGAGUUGUUUCGUAAAUGUGGCUCAAGUGAGAUGCUGAACAGUGCCAGCCAUGUGGACUCUGCCACAGUGAAGGAGGAAGGCAGCACUGAGAAGUGAAGGAAUAUUUGGGAGGAUCAGAAGCUUGGUCCUGAUUUUGCCAUCAACAGGAACUUGAUGACUUCAAGGGAGUCCCCAAACCCUGGGUUUCUGUUUUCUCAACUCUAACAUGAGGGGCUAGAUGCAUCUGGUUUAGUUAGUCUCCAUGAUGGUUUAGUUCGUCUCCAUGAUCCUGUGAAUUUCAGAUGUUGAAAAUCUUCGGAAAAGCCCUGAAAGAUGAACAGUGGUCUCAAAUAGUCAAGACCCCCUGCUGGGAGGAGCUUCUAUCCUGCUCUGUGGAAGAAAUGGGCAUGCCAGAUGCCUG
rnacentral:lncRNA from 1 species